UACGGAUACGAAAAUACCCUAAUCUUCGACGAGUCAACGUAUAAAGCGACCAGCACGGCAGCCCCUUCUCUCGUCCUUUCACCUCCUGAUCGUCUCCAGACCUAGGGUCUUGCCGCCGCUACACCAACUGAUCGCCGGUGGCCUGCGCUGCCUCACCGGAGAAGGGAUCCAGCCGUGGAGCAGCCCCCUCCGCCGCCUGCCGCUGGACUGUGCGUGUGCCGGACUGCAGGUAAGGUAAAGUUUCCGGAUCAGAGAAGGGCUCAACACAGAUCGAUGGCCGCUGCGCCGCCGGACCAAUCGCCGGCAAGCAGAUCCCUCCGCCACUGCAUCGCAAUCGCAGGACAGCAGGUUAGUUUCUCCUCUUCCCAUCUCAAUCUCUCGCUUCGUCAUGGUCCUGCACUCCUGCUGGCUGCAACGUAUAUUGGAUUAUUGGUUCUGGAGGAAGCCCUUGCAGUCUGCAAUCUACUAAUCUAGUUCAGUAAAGAUUAAACAUGUCUGGGAUAUGGAGAAAUAGAGGACAAGAUGAACGGAGUGAAAAUAGAAACAUUUGCAAACUAGCAAUGUAAUUGUAAGCAACUAGGUGGAAAAAAGAGGGCUGCACCGUUGCAAUUGACAAGCUUUUUUUGGCAAAACAACUAUAUCACGCGACGUGGUGAUGAUAGGUGACAAGCGAGAGGUGAUAAUCCAUGGUGGUGGCGGCAUGGUGAUGUUCGUCUUCGUGGUUGGCGCGUGGUGAUGCUUAUGACCGGCGUGACUGGCGGUGUUAUGGUGGUAUUCAGCUUCGUGCUCGGCGACAUGGUGAUGCCUGUGACGGGCAUGAACGGCGGUGUCAUGGCGGUGUUCGUCUUCAUGCUCGGUGACGUGGUGAUGCCUAUGAUCAGCGUGACCGGCGGUGUCAUGGUGGUGUUCAGCGACGUCUUCGGUGAUAUUGUAAUGCUUCUGACGGGCGUGAACUGCGGUGACAUGAUGGUGUUCGUCGACGUGGUGAUGUCUGUGACGUGCGUGGCCAGCGGUGUCAUGGUGGUGAUGGUUAUGGUAUGUGAUAGGAAGUAAUCCAUGGCGGUAACCACGUAGGUGUAGGCCGUGGCGGUGUCAUGGUGGCGACGUUUUUGUUGUGCUA